rnacentral:rRNA from 1 species
CGAUUGCUAAUACCGCAUAAUGCAGCGGCACCUAAUGGUGACAGUUGUUAAAGCGGGGGAUCGAAAGACCUCGCGUCUGAAGAGGAGCCUGCGGCGGAUUAGCUAGUUGGUAAGGUAAUGGCUUACCAAGGCAACGAUCCGUAACCGGCCUGAGAGGGCGGUCGGUCACACUGACACUGACAUACGGGUCAGACUCCUACGGGAGGCAGCAGUCGGGAAUUUUGGGCAAUGGGCGAAAGCCUGACCCAGCAACGCCGCGUGAAGGAUGAAAUCCCUCGGGAUGUAAACUUCGCAAGAACGGGAAGAAUAAGUAGGGGACAAUACCCCCUAUGAUGACGGUACCGUUUGUAAGCUCCGGCUAACUCCGUGCCAGCAGCCGCGGUAAUACGGGGGGAGCAAGCGUUGUUCGGAUUUACUGGGCGUAAAGGGCGCGUAGGCGGCCAGCACAAGUCAGUUGUGAAAUCUCCGAGCUUAACUCGGAAAGGUCAACUGAUACUGUGCGGCUAGAGUGCGGAAGGGGCAACUGGAAUUCUUGGUGUAGCGGUGAAAUGCGUAGAUAUCAAGAGGAACACCUGCGGCGAAGGCGGGUUGCUGGGCCGACACUGACGCUGAGGCGCGAAAGCCAGGGGAGCGAACGGGAUUAGAUACCCCGGUAGUCCUGGCCUUAAACGAUGAAUGCUUGGUGUCUGGGGUUAUAUAGUCCCCGGGUGCCGUCGCUAACGCUUUAAGCAUUCCGCCUGGGGAGUACGGUCGCAAGACUGAAACUUAAAGGAAUUGACGGAAUCGAAUU